rnacentral:rRNA from 1 species
CCCUCAUCCUCAGUUGCCAUCGGGUCAUGCCGGGCACUCUGAAGAAACUGCCGGUGACAAGCCGGAGGAAGGUGGGGAUGACGUCAAGUCCUCAUGGCCCUUACGGGCUGGGCUACACACGUGCUACAAUGGCGGUGACAAUGGGCAGCAAAAGCGCGAGCUUGAGCUAAUCCCCAAAAGCCGUCUCAGUUCGGAUUGUUCUCUGCAACUCGAGAGCAUGAAGUCGGAAUCGCUAGUAAUCGCGGAUCAGCAUGCCGCGGUGAAUACGUUCCCGGGCCUUGNACACA